ensembl:snRNA U6 U6 spliceosomal RNA
GUACUCACUUCGGCAGCACAUAUACUAAAAUUGGAACAAUGCAGAGAAGAUUAUCAUGGCCCCUGCGCAAGGUUGACACUGACUGACAAGCCAGAUGUGCUGGGUGAUU